CAAACCGACCAUACAGAAGCUUGGACGUUGAACAGACUUUUGUUCUAACAGACGUUUCUCUUACAACUCAUACUGAUAUGACUGGGAUUGUUAAAUGGCCUGCUGUUUCCUUCAUUUAGUAGACAAUGAUGGAAAGAUGUGAAACGUUGAGUCAUUUACUAGCCUGAAAAGAAGAAACCUCAAUGGAGUCUGCACAAUAAGAGAGAGAGGAGGCCAGCUGGGGGACUUGGAUGCUAAUGACAAAACAAACUGUGGAAUGAUCUAAUGUUUUGGCAACAAACUGCUUUAAUUAACUAAUUCAGAAUGACCUCAGUUCUAAGGAGAAAGGAGCCCGUCCCCCCACCUCCGUCCACGUGCAUGCAGAGGAGAGUGCAACACUUACCACACUGUUCCCAUGAGGACAAUCCUUGUUUUCUUCUCCUCAAAAACUAAAGCGUCUGGAGCUAUACAUCUGGAUAAGUGUCGAUAAGACUGAGAGUGACGCAAUGAGUUGUUUCACAUCAAAGAGCAGCCAAGAGCCUGACGUGAGGUGAUUACAUGACAUUAUAGCUGUGGGUGUUGGUGGUGGUGGUGGAUGUUUAUUUUUUAUGCAUUUAACAGACGUGUUGUUGUCAGAAACAGGAUUUUGUUUAAUGUUAUGUAAGAAGAAGAAGAAAAUGUCUGACCUGUAACCUUUUUUCCUGAGGUGCUAUGCCCACAUCUUACUACUUAUCUUGAGGAAACAAGCAUGUAUAGACCUAGAAGUAAAUAAAGGA